UGAUGACAUGCUUUUCAUCAUGAUGGAUUGGGCGACACAAUACGAGUUUCACUCACAGAAGCACCGGAGGAGGAGAUAGUUCCUUGCACAAGGUUGGCAAACCUUGGAAUGAGAGCAUCUGAACUCCAGAAAGGAGUGGCACCUUUUGAAGAAAAACAUAGACAUUAUUUUGACUUCCAGCGCCGUACUGGUCAAUUGCCAGUGGAAAAAGAGGGUGAGGAAGUGGAUUAUAGAGGUACGCUCCACCGGGACGGAUCUGUUCUCAUGUCAGUCUCCUUGGAUCAGUUAAAGGGUAAAGGUGGUGAGUUCACCAGUGGCUUGUCAAAUGAAGGGAUAUGGCCUGUGAUACAUUUUUGAAAAUAGUCUAAAAGUGUAGGCGAAAGUUUGUAAUUACCCAGGUUGGGGAGAAUGAGCCAUUUGUGUCUGAACUCUUAUCUGGCCUUCCAACUACAAUUGCAGAUCUUGAACCCCAUCAAAUACACACUUUCUAUGAAUCUGUUGGCAGCAUGAUUCAAGCAGAGUCUGAUUCACAGAAGAGAGAUGAGUAUCUUCAGCGGUUGAUGGUACUUCCGUAUCAGGUUCCUUUAUUAAAGCUGGUCAGGUCCUUGCAAACAGGCCAGAUAUCAUUAGAGAAGAUUAUAUGAAUGAACUUUGCAUUCUUCAAGAAGACGUCCCUUCAUUUCCUAAUCAAAUUGCCUUCAAAUUUCAUAGAGGAAGAACUGGGACAGCCCCUUGAAUGCAAGCAAAAUUUAUUGAGUUAUGUCAGAUCAAAUGCAAAUGGUUGAAGAGGAUAAGGAGAUAGAAAUGUUGCCAAAACAAAAGCCAAAGAAGAAGAAGAAGAAAACUUAUAUAUGAAGAAAGUGUUAUGACUUAGUUAAAAUAUAAUUUUUAUGUGUAUGAUUUUAUAGUACUUGAAAUAUUAUGACUGCACAUGAUUUUGUAUACUUUUUGGUUAAUAUUA